UGUAAGCGUAUACCAAAGUUGUUGCAGUUAAAACGCUCGUAGUCGGACUUUGGCAGUUCCGGAAGUGUGCACGUCGUGUGCGCAUUUUGCGGGGACUGCCUUUGUGGUCUUGCGUAGGAUGAGGCACUUUCAUUAGUGAACGUCCUCACGCAACCACUCUUUACUGUGAGAAAAUCAGAGUGCUCAAAGCAGGCAUUUGCCGUGAAUGUAUUAGCAUGGAAUAAUAGAAUAGGACUCGGUUCUAUUUUGUUGGUUUGUUGGGACUGAGUAAUGAUUAAGAGGGACAGUUGGGGGCAUUUGUAUUCCGGCGCUAGAGGUGAAAUUCUUAGAUUGCCGGAAGACAAACUGCUGCGAAAGCGUCUGCCAAGGAUGUUUUCAUUGA
rnacentral:rRNA from 1 species